rnacentral:rRNA from 1 species
GAUGAACGCUAGCUACAGGCUUAACACAUGCAAGUCGAGGGGAAACGACAUCGAAAGCUUGCUUUUGAUGGGCGUCGACCGGCGCACGGGUGAGUAACGCGUAUCCAACCUGCCCACCACUUGGGGAUAACCGUGCGAAAGUAAGACUAAUACCCAAUGAUAUCUCUAGAAGACAUCUGAAGGAGAUUAAAGAUUUAUCGGUGAUGGAUGGGGAUGCGUCUGAUUAGCUUGUUGGCGGGGUAACGGCCCACCAAGGCGACGAUCAGUAGGGGUUCUGAGAGGAAGGUCCCCCACAUUAGAACUGAGACACGGUCCAAACUCCUACGGGAGGCAGCAGUGAGGAAUAUUGGUCAAUGGGCGAGAGCUUGGACCAGCCAAGUAGCGUGCAGGAUGACUGCCCUAUGGGUUGUAAACUGCUUUUAUAAGGGAAUAAAGUGAGCCUCGUGAGGCUUUUUGCAUGUACCUUAUGAAUAAGGACCGGCUAAUUCCGAGCCAGCCGCCGCAGUAA